AAUGAAAAAACCAUUUUUUCCCCGUUUAUAUAUGUAUAUUUUACGCAGAGUACUCGACUCUUUAAUAGCAAGAUAAGCGGUUAAUUUAUUCGAAUCAUUUGAUUCGGAACACGUCAACCGACGUUUUCUGGUGGAUAAUAGUUAAUAAUAUUAAAAAAUAUAAUAAAAUAAAUAAAACACUUUUCUUACUUCUACUACCAUGGUUUUUAUUAAUUAUUUGUAUAGAUCAGAGGUUUCCAAAAUGGUCUGUAUACAGGGACGGAUCUAUAAAUAUGUAAUGUAAUGGGAGUGGGGCUAAUUUGUAUUUACAGAAAGGCA